GGGGGGGGGGGGGGGGGGGGUGGGGGCGUGCGGGUCGGGCGGGGGGGCGCUGCUGUUGUGGGGUGCUCGAGUGGCGAACGGGUGAGUCACACGUGAGUACCCUGCCCUUGCCUUUGGGAUAACUUCGGGAAACUGUGGCUAAUACCGGAUCGGAGCUCCUGCUGCAUGGUGUGGGUUGGAAAGUUUCGGCGGUUGGGGAUGGACUCGCGGCUUGUCAUCUUGUUGGUGGGGUAGUGGCUUACCAAGGCUUUGACGGGUCGCCGGCCUGAGAGGGUGACCGGCCAAAUUGGGACUGAGAUACGGCCCAGACUCCUACGGGAGGCAGCAGUGGGGAAUAUUGCACAAUGGGCGGAAGCCUGAUGCAGCAACGCCGCGUGCGGGAUGACGGCCUUCGGGUUGUAAACCGCUUUCGCCUGUGACGAAGCGUGAGUGACGGUAAUGGGUAAAGAAGAACCGGCUAACUACGUG
rnacentral:rRNA from 1 species